rnacentral:rRNA from 1 species
AUGCGAUUUCGGUCAAAUCAUGUGGCAUUCGAGUGGCGGACGGGUGAGUAACGCGUGGGUAACCUGCCUUACACAGGGGGAUAACACCUGGAAACAGGUGCUAAUACCGCAUAAGCGCACAGGGCCGCAUGGCCCGGUGUGAAAAACUCCGGUGGUGUAAGAUGGACCCGCGUCUGAUUAGCUUGUUGGCGGGGUAGGGGCCCACCAAGGCGACGAUCAGUAGCCGGCCUGAGAGGGUGGACGGCCACAUUGGGACUGAGACACGGCCCAAACUCCUACGGGAGGCAGCAGUGGGGGAUAUUGGACAAUGGGGGAAACCCUGAUCCAGCGACGCCGCGUGAGUGAAGAAGUAUUUCGGUAUGUAAAGCUCUGUCAGCAGGGAAGAAAGAAAUGACGGUACCUGACCAAGAAGCCCCGGCUAACUACGUGCCAGCAGCCGCGGUAAUACGUAGGGGGCAAGCGUUAUCCGGAAUUACUGGGUGUAAAGGGAGCGUAGACGGUGAUGCAAGUCUGGAGUGAAAGGCGGGGGCCCAACCCCCGGACUGCUCUGGAAACUGUGUAACUUGAGUGCAGGAGAGGUAAGCGGAAUUCCUAGUGUAGCGGUGAAAUGCGUAGAUAUUAGGAGGAACACCAGCGGCGAAGGCGGCUUACUGGACUGUAACUGACGUUGAGGCUCGAAAGCGUGGGGAGCAAACAGGAUUAGAUACCCUGGUAGUCCACGCCGUAAACGAUGAUUACUAGGUGUCGGUGGGUAUGGACCCA